UGAGCAAUCUGCCCUUCACAUCGGAAUAACCAUUGGAAACGAUGGCUAAUACCGAAUAUGACUUCGGAUCGCAUGAUCUGAAGUGGAAAGCUCCGGCGGUGAAGGAUGAGCUCGCGGCCUAUCAGCUUGUUGGUGAGGUAAUAGCUCACCAAGGCGAUGACGGGUAGCCGGCCUGAGGAGGGUGACCGGCCACACGUGGGACUGAGACACCGGCAGACCG
rnacentral:rRNA from 1 species